rnacentral:rRNA from 1 species
GUAGGUGGCAAGCGUUGUCCGGAAUUAUUGGGCGUAAAGCGCGCGCAGGUGGUUCUUUAAGUCUGAUGUGAAAGCCCCCCGGCUCAACCGGGGAGGGUCAUUGGAAACUGGGGAACUUGAGUGCAGGAGAGGAAAGUGGAAUUCCACGUGUAGCGGUGAAAUGCGUAGAUAUGUGGAGGAACACCAGUGGCGAAGGCGACUUUCUGGCCUGUAACUGACACUGAGGCGCGAAAGCGUGGGGAGCAAACAGGGAUUAGAUACCCUGGUAGUCCACGCCGUAAACGAUGAGUGCUAAGUGUUGGGGGGGUUUCCCGCCCCGUCAGUGCUGCAGCUAACGCAUUAAGCACUCCGCCUGGGGAGUACGGUCGCAAGACUG